UCUCCGUUGGUGAACCAGCGGAGGGAUCAUUACAGAGUUUUCUAACUCCCAAACCCUUUGUGAACUUACUAUUUUGUUGCCUCGGCGGGGUGCGCCCUCCGUCCUCCGGGCCGGCGUCCGUGCCCCGCCGAAGGUACCGCCCACCAAACUCUUGUAUAUCAUAUGGACCUUCUGAGAAAGCUUAUAAAUAAGUCAAAACUUUCAACAACGGAUCUCUUGGUUAUGGCAUCGAUGAAGAACGCAGC
rnacentral:misc_RNA from 1 species